GGGCCGUUAGCUCAGCUGGUAGAGCAGGUGACUCUUAAUCACAAGGUCAGGGGUUCGAUCCCCCUACGGCCUACCA
rnacentral:tRNA from 1 species